rnacentral:rRNA from 1 species
CAAUAGCGUAUAUUAAAGUUGUUGCGGUUAAAAAGCUCGUAGUUGGAUUUCUGUUGAGGACGGCCGGUCCGCACUAUGUGCGUGUAUCUGGUUCGGCCUUGGCAUCCUCUUGAGGAACGUUCCUGCGCUUGAUUGCGUGGGGCGGUAUUCAAGACUUUUACUUUGAGGAAAUUAGAGUGUUCACGGCAGGCAAGCGCCUUGAAUACAUUAGCAUGGAAUAAUAAUAUAGGAUCUUGGUUCUAUUUGUUGGUUUCUAGGGCUAAGGUAAUGAUUAAUAGGGAUAAUUGGGGGCAUUUGUAUUAACGCGUCAGAGGUGGAAUUCUUGGAUUGCGUUACGACAAACUACUGCGAAAGCAUUUGCCAAGGAUGUUUNCAUUG